AAAGAAACUAACAAGGAUUCCCCUAGUAACUGCGAGUGAAGCGGGAAAAGCUCAAAUUUAAAAUCUGGUGGUCUUUGGCCAUCCGAGUUGUAAUCUAGAGAAGUGUUACCCGCGUCGGACCGUGUACAAGUCUCCUGGAAUGGAGCGUCAUAGAGGGUGAGAAUCCCGUCUUUGACANGGACUACCGAGGCUGUGUGGUGCGCUCUCAAAGAGUCGAGUUGUUUGGGAAUGCAGCUCAAAAUGGGUGGUAAAUUCCAUCUAAAGCUAAAUAUUGGCGAGAGACCGAUAGCGAACAAGUACCGUGAGGGAAAGAUGAAAAGAACUUUGGAAAGAGAGUUAAACAGUACGUGAAAUUGCUGAAAGGGAAACGCUUGAAGUCAGUCGCGUUGGCCGGAAAUCAGCCUUGCUUUUGCUUGGUGUACUUUCUGGUUGACGGGCCAGCAUCAGUUUUGACCGGUGGAAAAAGUCUAGAGGAAGGUGGCAUCUUCGGAUGUGUUAUAGCCUCUGGUCGUAUACAUCGGUUGGGACUGAGGAACUCAGCACGCCGCAAGGCCGGGUCUUUGACCACGUUCGUGCUUAGGAUGCUGGCAUAAUGGCUUUAAUCGACCCGUCUUGAAACACGGACCAAGGAGUCUAACAUGCCUGCGAGUGUUUGGGUGGAAAACCCGAGCGCGUAAUGAAAGUGAAAGUUGAGAUCCCUGUCAUGGGGAGCAUCGACGCCCGGACCAGAAGUUUUCUGACGGCCCUGCGGUAGAGCAUGUAUGUUGGGACCCGAAAGAUGGUGAACUAUGCCUGAAUAGGGUGAAGCCAGAGGAAACUCUGGUGGAGGCUCGUAGCGAUUCUGACGUGCAAAUCGAUCGUCAAAUUUGGGUAUAGGGGCGAAAGACUAAUCGAACCAUCUAGUAG
rnacentral:rRNA from 1 species